GAUGAACGCUGGCGGCGUGCCUAAUACAUGCAAGUCGAGCGAACAGACGAGGAGCUUGCUCCUCUGACGUUAGCGGCGGACGGGUGAGUAACACGUGGAUACCCUACCUAUAAGACUGGGAUAACUUCGGGAAACCGGAGCUAAUACCGGAUAAUAUAUUGAACCGCAUGGUUCAAUAGUGAAAGACGGUUUUGCUGUCACUUAUAGAUGGAUCCGCGCCGCAUUAGCUAGUUGGUAAGGUAACGGCUUACCAAGGCAACGAUGCGUAGCCGACCUGAGAGGGUGAUCGGCCACACUGGAACUGAGACACGGUCCAGACUCCUACGGGAGGCAGCAGUAGGGAAUCUUCCGCAGUGGGCGAAAGCCUGACGGAGCAACGCCGCGUGAGUGAUGAAGGUCUUCGGAUCGUAAAACUCUGUUAUUAGGGAAGAACAAAUGUGUAAGUAACUAUGCACGUCUUGACGGUACCUAAUCAGAAAGCCACGGCUAACUACGUG
rnacentral:rRNA from 1 species